rnacentral:rRNA from 1 species
UACAGAGGUGGCAAGCGUUUGUUCGGAAUUACUGGGCGUAAAGGGCGCGUAGGCGGCCUCCUAAGUCGGACGUGAAAGCCCCAGGCUUAACCUGGGAACUGCGUCUGAUACUGGGAGGCUUGGAUCGGAGAGGGAUGUGGAAUUCCAGGUGUAGCGGUGAAAUGCGUAGAUAUCUGGAGGAACACCGGUGGCGAAGGCGGCAUCCUGGACCGAGAUCGACGCUGAGGCGGCGAAAGCUAGGGGAGCAAACGGG